rnacentral:rRNA from 1 species
GAUGAACGCUGGCGGCGUGCCUAAUACAUGCAAGUCGAGCGAACGGACGAGAAGCUUGCUUCUCUGAUGUUAGCGGCGGACGGGUGAGUAACACGUGGAUAACCUACCUAUAAGACUGGGAUAACUUCGGGAAACCGGAGCUAAUACCGGAUAAUAUUUUGAACCGCAUGGUUCAAAAGUGAAAGACGGUCUUGCUGUCACUUAUAGAUGGAUCCGCGCUGCAUUAGCUAGUUGGUAAGGUAACGGCUAACCAAGGCAACGAUGCUUAGCCGACCUGAGAGGGUGAUCGGCCACACUGGAACUGAGACACGGUCCAGACUCCUACGGGAGGCAGCAGUAGGGAAUCUUCCGCAAAGGGCGAAAGCCUGACGGAGCAACGCCGCGUGAGUGAUGAAGGUCUUCGGAUCGUAAAACUCUGUUAUUAGGGAAGAACAUAUGUGUAAGUAACUGUGCACAUCUUGACGGUACCUAAUCAGAAAGCCACGGCUAACUACGUG